CUCGUAUUUUCUAACUUGCUUGCUCAUUGAUCAAGAUUAAUAAUUAAUAAUAUCUGAAAGCUUCUUCUUCAUAUUCAUCAAUGGCAUUUACAAUAUAAGAACAAAUUAGAGCAAACCUCAUGAAAAACCUCAAGUAUAAUUCCGUGAUUAUCUUGAGAGUUCAUUGAAAUGUAAUAGUUUAAGAGGCUGCGAAGAUCUUUGGGCUCUUGUAGCCUAUUUGCCAAUAUCACCUCAACCAUUGACUCUCUAAAAUCUUCUCUCGGAUCAUAAGAGCUCUUCUCCAUUGCCACCAUUACUACAAAUUUGAUCCCUUCAUUUCUUAGCCUUCUUCUCUCUUUAUGUCUUGCCUCCAGCUGCUGUUUUUCCCUAAUCAUUUGGCCUAGUCUUUCUUGAACCAUGGCAUGCGCUAGGCUUGAGAUGGAAGCAUACCUGUCAGAAGCUGAUGAGCUCUCUGCAGCUUCCUCAGAAGAAGAGACACUAAGCCUGCAACUGCAACACAAGGCCCUGCAUCCUCUCUGUUGAAGCUUCUGCUGCUUCUUGUAUUCCCUGGAGGAUUUCAUCCUGAAUCAAUUUGAACAUGGAGAUCUUUGAAGGGAAAUUUGUGCAAAAACUAAUCAUUUAUGCACAAUUGGCAAGUGGGGUUAGUUUAAAGCAUGAUUGUGUCUUGAGUUUACAAGCAUAAACAUAUAAUUAAUUAAUGAGAUUAGGUUAGUUGAGAAAGAAAGGAAGGCAAAUGGGGGACAUUGGCAUAUUGUUAAUUUGAG
rnacentral:misc_RNA from 1 species